AUUGAACGCUGGCGGCAUGCCUUACACAUGCAAGUCGAACGGCAGCACGGACUUCGGUCUGGUGGCGAGUGGCGAACGGGUGAGUAAUGUAUCGGAACGUACCAUUGAGUGGGGGAUAACGUAGCGAAAGUUACGCUAAUACCGCAUAUUCUCUCCGGAGGAAAGCAGGGGACCGCAAGGCCUUGCGCUCUUUGAGCGGCCGAUAUCAGAUUAGCUAGUUGGAGGGGUAAAAGCUCCCCAAGGCGACGAUCUGUAGCGGGUCUGAGAGGAUGAGCCGCCACACUGGAACUGAGACACGGUCCAGACUCCUACGGGAGGCAGCAGUGGGGAAUUUUGGACAAUGGGGGCAACCCUGAUCCAGCCAUGCCGCGUGAGUGAAGAAGGCCUUCGGGUUGUAAAGCUCUUUCGGCCGGGAAAAAAUCGCAUGGGCUAAUAUCCUGUGUGGAUGAUGGUACCGGAAUAAGAAGCACCGGCUAACUACGUGCCAGCAGCCGCCGUAA
rnacentral:rRNA from 1 species